rnacentral:lncRNA from 1 species
GAAACACCAACUACAACCCAAAACUGUUGCACAAAACAUAAAAGCACCCUGAACCUGGGACACACAGUGGCGCCAGCCACAAGAAACUCUUGCGAUCAUUUGUCAUCCACUAAUGAGAACUUCCUUCUACAAGAUAGCAUCAUGUUGGAUUAAGUAAAAGGAUUAAACAUGAAGAUUCCAACUAUAAUAUAGCUCAAUGUCCACGUUCCUCACGUAAAUCUACAAGGACAGCGCCGAUUAAGAAAGGAUACGGCAAUGUGAACAUGAUCUUUGAAGCUUGCCGCCUGUUAGCAGUCUUCCAGGAAAUCAUAUAAUAGAUGAGGGAGGUAGAAGCUACCUUUCACGACUCAUGAGACUGUUUUCAUCACUAGUGCUAAUAGCUCUGUUUCUGUAUACCUUGAUCGUUACAGUGUUAGUUAUACUUCUUUUCUUGCACUCAACCACCAUUAACUUCCAUAAUCAGCCAUAUGGAACAGCACAAUAACCUCCUGCAUAGUAAUAAAUGGGCUGAUAAAAUACUCAAAACCUAAACGAAUUCUAGACGAUAUGAAGAUUAACACGGUUAUUGCAGCAACCAUCAGACUCCUUUGAAACCUAUACGAAGUAAUGAGAAAAAUGUAUUCAGCAACCAUUCCUAUCCUAUCAAGGUUUUCGCUAUGACUUGGUUUGAACAAGUUCUGCACUUCCGCUCACAUUCUUAUCGUGCAAAGCAGUCAACUAAAAUGUAACAUCGUGGCACCCUUUUAGGUGUGCAGUUUCAAAGGAAGAUAUCCAUACAUGCAGAGAAUUGCAAUUUUGGGUGUGGAAAGAUUGAUGGCGGGACAAAGCUUCCAUGUACUUUCUGCUGGUGAAGUGUCUCACAAGUAAUGGUUGAUUCAUUGAAAUCAAUCUUACUAAUGUCAAAGGGUUGGUUUGCCAGAUGCGGAGUUUCGCUAACGAUAAUUUGUUAGUGAUGGCAUAGCGAUGACAGGAUGGUAUCCAAAAGAAAUUUUCAACUAUACUAACAUUUCCACUCAAUUUUUUGACCCGUAACGCUUGUGAAAAUUGAACAUCAUUAAUUAAACAGUGCAUUUGGAAAAGCUGAAUCCUACACUAAGCCAUAGGGCACUACAACUUACAUAAAUCAGUACCCUCUCUGGUCUGGUCUACAGGUAAUAACGAUGCAGAGGUUGCUUAUGAGAAGCCCUAACAAAAUCACAAGGUGUUACCCUUUCUACAGCAAAAUAGAGACAUUGCAAUAUGCCCAUCACCAACAGUAAUGGCAGGCUGGCAGCGGAGACCCCGCAC